UAGAACAUAGUAUAGUGGAAGUAUGGGGAGUUUUGAUCUCUCUGGGGCAGGUUCGAAUCCUGUUUUUCUAA
rnacentral:tRNA from 1 species